rnacentral:pre_miRNA from 1 species
UGUUAAAAAAUUUAUCUAUUUAUAUUGCUAAAAAUUACUGUGAUUGACGAAAUAACCAAAUAAUGAUAUAUGACGUGUUACUUAUACCUCAUAUUAAUAUAUAAGAAUCAAUUUUUAAUAAAAAAAAUAGAUAAAUCUUUUAACA